UACAGAGGCCCCAAGCGUUACUGAGAAUCACUGGGUUUAAAGGGUGCGUAGGUGGUCCGUUAAGUUCGUUGUGAAAGCCCUGGGCUCAACCCAGGAACUGCUUCGAAUACUGGCGGACUUGAGGCUAGUAGAGGUCACUGGAACUGACGGUGGAGCGGUGAAAUGCGUAGAUAUCGUCAGGAACGCCAAUGGUGAAGACAGGUGACUGGGCUAGUUCUGACACUGAGGCACGAAAGCGUGGGGAGCGAACAGG
rnacentral:rRNA from 1 species